UUAAACCAUUCAAAACUGAAAACAAAACAUCAUAAUAACCCACAAGGCCACAACUCACAUACAACUGAUUGAACACUACUCGUAACACUUGACAGCAUUGAAUCAAAUAUGAAGUGCCAAUUGGCAAAUUACAAAAUUCCAAGGUUCCCAUUAUCUCUAAAUUUUGCUUCAAGAAAAUGGACAUAGCACGCCCUUUACCCCUUCCAAGCUUUGCAACAAUAACAGGAAGCAUACCACUAGUUAUGCAUGGAAAUUGAAGCCACAAAUUCGUAGAGGAGAUGCACAUUUGAUGCAUUCCCAUAAACAUUUAUGCAAAGUUAACCCAACUACUGUUAUGCGUUUGCUAUCUCCAAAAAAUAAAACAAGACCGACCCUCCUAUAAAAAGAGAUUCCACAUUCCCUCAUUCAAUAAAACAAGAAUUUCAAUUAUUUUCUUUGAGGAAUCAAUAUAAUCAGAAUUGAAAGGGCCGAUUUUCAACAGAAGAUAAGAAGGUGACG
rnacentral:misc_RNA from 1 species